UUUCUACAUUUCUUCGUAAAG
rnacentral:miRNA from 1 species